GACGAACGCUGGCGGCGUGCUUAACACAUGCAAGUCGAACGGAACGGCCCUGCUUUUGUGGGGUGCUCGAGUGGCGAACGGGUGAGUAACACGUGAGUAACCUGCCCUUGACUUUGGGAUAACUUCAGGAAACUGGGGCUAAUACCGGAUAGGAGCUCCUGCUGCAUGGUGGGGGUUGGAAAGUUUCGGCGGUUGGGGAUGGACUCGCGGCUUAUCAGCUUGUUGGUGGGGUAGUGGCUUACCAAGGCUUUGACGGGUAGCCGGCCUGCGAGGGUGACCGGCCACAUUGGGACUGAGAUACGGACCAGACUCCUACGGGAGGCAGCAGUGGAGAAUAUUGCACAAUGGGCGGAAGCGUGAUGCAGCAACGCCGCGUGCGGGAUGACGGCCUUCGGGUUGUAAACCGCUUUCGCCUGUGACGAAGCGUGAGUGACGGUAAUGGGUAAAGAAGCACCGGCUAACUACGUG
rnacentral:rRNA from 1 species